CUCGUAGGCGGUUCCGUAAGUUGGGAGUUAAAUCUCUGGGCUCAACCCAGAGUCGCUCCCAAUACUGCGGUGACUCGAGUCCGGUAGGGGAGAUUGGAAUUCCUGGUGUAGCGGUGGAAUGCGCAGAUAUCAGGAGGAACACCAACAGCGAAGGCAGAUCUCUGGGCCGGUACUGACGCUGAGGAGCGAAAGCGUGGGGAGCGAACA
rnacentral:rRNA from 1 species